GUCACUGUGGCAUAGUGGUUUGAGUGCUGAACUUUGAUUCUGGAGCCCAGGGUUUGAUUCCCAGUUCGGCCA